GCAGCCGCGGUAAUACGUAGGGGGCAAGCGUUAUCCGGAUUUACUGGGUGUAAAGGGAGCGUAGACGGUGAGGCAAGUCCGAUGUGAAAACCCGGGGCUCAACCCCGGGAUUGCAUUGGAAACUGUUUGACUCGAGUACUGGAGGGGUAAGCGGAAUUCCUAGUGUAGCGGUGAAAUGCGUAGAUAUUAGGAGGAACACCGGUGGCGAAGGCGGCUUACUGGACAGUAACUGACGUUGAGGCUCGAAAGCGUGGGGAGCAAACAGGAUUAGAUACCCC
rnacentral:rRNA from 1 species